rnacentral:rRNA from 1 species
GCGGAGGGAUCAUUACACAAUAUGAAAGCGGGUUGGGACCUCACUUUGGUGAGGGCUCCAGCUUGUCUGAAUUAUUCACCCAUGUCUUUUGCGCACUUCUUGUUUCCUGGGCGGGUUCGCCCGCCACCAGGACCAAACCAUAAACCUUUUUGUAAUUGCAAUCAGCGUCAGUAAACAAUGUAAUUAUUACAACUUUCAACAACGGAUCUCUUGGUUCUGGCAUCGAUGAAGAACGCAGCGAAAUGCGAUACGUAGUGUGAAUUGCAGAAUUCAGUGAAUCAUCGAAUCUUUGAACGCACAUUGCGCCCUUUGGUAUUCCAAAGGGCAUGCCUGUUCGAGCGUCAUUUGUACCCUCAAGCUUUGCUUGGUGUUGGGCGUCUUUGUCUCUCACGAGACUCGCCUUAAAAUGAUUGGCAGCCGACCUACUGGUUUCGGAGCGCAGCACAAUUCUUGCACUUUGAAUCAGCCUUGGUUGAGCAUCCAUCAAGACCACAUUUUUUAACUUUUGACCUCGGAUCAGGUAGGGAUACCCGCUGAACUUAAGCAUAUCAAAAGCCGGAGGAAA